rnacentral:SRP_RNA from 1 species
CGUCAGGGGCCGUGGAGGGGCGGCUGGUGAAAUCCGCCAGGUCCGAAAGGAAGCAACGGUAGCCUGUCCGGCUUUGCCGCGGCUCCCUGACACUU